rnacentral:lncRNA from 1 species
AUCUUUUCUUCGCUUCUGCACUUUGAGUUCACUUCUUCUUUUUUCUCCUUUUUUCUUUUAUUCUAGAAUGAGACUCAUUCUUUUGGUCGUCUCGAACCCUGUGCCUUGAGGUAAAACCUGCUCAAACACCAAAACAAACAAACGAACAAAAUUUUUCUGCCCCGGUUUUCACUAGGAAAAUUUCGUGAGUUAUUGUAACAAAAUUUUAAACUACUUCUUUAUUGAAAGCAAUAAAAGUCAGGAUUGUGUAUCCCUGGGAAAAAGAGAUUAGGGAGUGGAGACCCUAUAUCUAAAAUGAAAUCAACUAGGGAUUGGGAGACCCUAUUGUUGGAAAAUCAUCAGCUAUAGAGUGAUGACCCUACGUUGGCAUCAACUAGGGAGUGGUGACCCUAUGUUGGCAUCAGGUGAUGCUGGAAUCAACUAGUGAGUGAAGAUUCUAUGUUGGCAUCAACUAAGGGUGGUGACCCUUUGUUGGCAUCAGGUUAUGCUGGCAUCAACUAGGGAGUAGAGACUCUGUGUUGGAAAAUGAGACUACUGAAUUGUGUACCUAUGCUAAAAUGAACCAAGAAGAAUUUUUUGUUUUUUUCUCUCUUUUUUUUAAGAGAAAAAUCAAUUUCAUUUUUUUCUUUUGAGAAAAUCAUUCUUUUUUUUAAUUUCCUAGGAGAAAAUUCAUCAGACUAGUUUUUUAUAUCUUAGGAGAAAAUUCAUCAGACUAAGACAUCUAUCAUAUGAGAAAGUUCAUCAUACUAGGUUUUCUAAAUUAUUAUCUUAGGAGAAAGAUUCAUCAGAUUAAGAUUUUGAUCCUGGGAGAAAAGUACAUCAGACAAGGUCUCUUUUUCUUUUCGGUAUCUUAGGAGAAAGAUUCAUCAUACUAUGAUUUUUAUCCUAGGACAAAAUUCACCAGACUAGGUUUUCUUAUUAUCUUAGGAGAAAGAUUCAUCAGACUAAGAUUUCUUGUCCUAGGAGAAAAUUCAUCAAACUAAGAUUUUAUUCUUAGGAGAGAGUUCAUUAGACUAGGUCUUUUUUUUUGGUACCUUAGGAGAAAGAUUUAUCAGACUAAGAUUCUUUUUUUUUUUUGCAUCUUAGGAGAAAGAUUCAUCACACUAAGAUGUUUAUCCUAGGAGAAAAUUCAUCAGACUAGGUUUUCUAUCUUAGGAGAAAGAUUCAUUAGACUAAGAUGUUUAUCCUAAGAGAAAAUUCAUCAGACUAGGUUUUCUAUCUUAUUUUCUUAGGAGAAAGAUUUAUCAGACUAAGAUUUCUAUCCUAGAAGAAAGUUCAUCAAACUAGGUCCGUUUUUGUUAUCUUAGGAGAACAAUUCAUCAUUGAUCCAAGGAGAAAGUUCAUCAGAUUAGGUCCAUUUUUUUUGUUAUAUUAGGAGAAAAAUUCAUCAGACUAAGAUUUCUAUCCUAGGAGAAAGAUUCAUCAGACUAGGUUUUCUUAUCUUAGGAGAAAUAUUCAUCAGACUAAGAUUUUUAUUGGGAGAAAAAUCCAUCAGACUAGGACUUUUUAUCCUAGGAGGCAAAAUGUGACGAGAAAAUGGCAAAAUUUUAUGCACACGAGCAAGAUAGAAAAAGGCAAAGAUUUGAGAAACUUCCUUUUGUCGGCUCUUCUCUUCUUUUUAUUUUUUUCUUUCUUUUUUUUUUCUUUCUUUUUUUGUACCACUUUCCUUGUACUGCUUUGUUCUUGCUUCAAAGAAAGAAAAUUUUGUCAGUUUUAAGAGGUGGUCGGUUUGUAGCCUUGAUAUCUUUUAGACGACCAACGACAUUGGUAGUUGGCUGCGCUGCUGGGAGACUCUGUUGUUGCUUUCAAGGGACCUUUACUUUCAACCCUGAUUGUUUCGCUCCCAAUGCCAUUGGUAUUUUGUGGCUCAAUCAACAUUAUUCCAACUGGAGAUCUUUGCUUAGGUGACCUUUUUUGAUAUCUUGAAUGGCUUCCUACUUUUGAGCAAUUUGUCUAUCAGAGAGAAUCACAAGUUAUCUUUGUUUGCGCUAAGUUGGCUGACAAGAAUCUUUUAGGGGAGCCUUUGCAUAAAUCCUCAAGGCAUGUUGAAAGUAACAACUGAGUGUACUGGAAAAAUUUACUUUGUGCAACGGAAAAGCUGGUAGCAGAUUUUGAAAUCCUUUUGUUGCUCGUUUUGACAAGGACGGACUCAGAGUGAAGGACACAAUGAUGCACAGAAACAAUAUACAAAGGAAUGCCUCUGUCGGGAAGGACAAAAGGAAGAGUUUUUUUUUUCAAUAACUAGUCUUAAUGAAUCAUGACAUGUAUUUUGGACUUAAUGGCUUGAUCUUUCAAAUCAUUCUAACAUUUACUCUUGUGAUUCCUUCGAGCUAUGAAAUUGAGCAUCUUUGUGCCAAUUAUUUGCAUCAGACUCACAACCCAUCUUCGACUAGUGGUGCCUUGAAGUAUUUUCACCAACAAGCCUCUCUCAUUUAUUUAUCUCUACUUACCGUCGCCUUAAAGUGCCUGUGAGGGUUUUCACUAGUAAGAUUCUCUCAUUUUUUUUUCUUUUCCCUUCUUUCGCUUUCUUGUGUGAGAAACUUGAUAUUGUGUGACAACCGUUGCUUAUUGCAUACUUCUCUUAGCAUUCUUGAAGGCUUAUUGGGAGGACUUGAUUUGGAAGGUUUUUGGUUAUGGUUGGAAAGAAAGGAUGGCAUAAAGGCUUAAAGUAGACUCAAUAUCAUGGGUUGUACACUUACAACUCUUGGAAUUGACUCUUUCAAAAACUAAAAACAAACUCAUGCCCCAACUUUAGAUACUGGACUUUUUUUUCUGAAUUCUUAUUUAGUUGGACCGAACUGUGUAAGGCUACCUACGUAUCCUUUUUACAGAAAUCAGGUCGAACGUAGUUCAAACUUCUGACCUAACUAAUUUUUUUUCAUCUUUCUUUCUGUAUCUCUUUUUUUUUAAUCUUUUUUUUCUUUUUAUUUUUAAAACAAGUUUUCCCAGCUUUUAUUUUCUGGGGCAUGGACCGUUAAUAGUUCUUUUCUUCUUCAUUUUUUUUCACUUGAACUUUCUAGGAAUUUGCUCAGUUUGUACUCUUGGGACAUGGACUUUUUUUUCUAUUUUUUUGUUUUUUUCAUUCAUUUUUUUUGAUUCUAGACUUGAUUCCAAGAGAGGGGGGUUAAAGAAAAUGACACCGGCUAAAGAGUGGUAGAGAGGGGUAUAAAGUAUUUGGAUAGCAGAAAAAAAGGACUUCCAGCCUCGAGAACGACAAUCAUGUUAGCCCUUUGCAAUCACGACAUUGAUUGAUAUGUUGCUUUCUCGGUCUUUUUCAGUGUAAAGCUGUAUGAGCAAUACUUUCCUCUGAGUGAAUGACCCUGCUCAAUUUGUGUGACUUUUCUUGGAUUUUAUCUCAAUGUAGAAGAUGCAUUUUGCCACUAAACUAAUCCAUUUCAAGUUGUCUGGAAUACACCUUCUUUUGAAAAACGCUUUCUAUAACUUAUUGCUAAAUAGACUUUAACCCGUCCGAUCAUCCUUAAACCCGAUCGUCUCAAAUGAUUCAAAAGGUAGAGAUCCUUAACUUCCAUGAGCAUGACUACUUUGGUUCCAUGUAAACUUGGCUCAUGCUUAUUUUUCAAAUGUUUUAUGUCUUUAUUCAUCUUCGAAAGUAUUUGUUUCUCACUUAACCAAUUCAAGACUAAAUCAGUUUUCUAAGAUCUAGCCAAAAUUUCUGCAUGCAUGUCAUGUCACUAGAACUAGCGUGAAAAGAAUUAUGCACGAAAUGGAUACAAAAUGAUUGGCUGUUUUUAUUGAAUAAAGGAUAGCCAGGUCUGAUAACACAAAAAGAAGAAGAAAAGACGACAAAAUAAGCUACCAUGGAUGAAGGGAAGUGACUUUCCAGUUACUAAGCGACAUCUUAGCCACAAAUUUACACAUCAGCAUUACUACGGCAUUUAACNNNNNNNNNNNNNNNNNNNNNNNNNAAAAGAGAAGAUAUUUUUUGAAUCUUGAAUUUUCUUUUUAAUUUUCGAAAGAAAAAUGAAAAUAUUUUUGGAUUUUGGGAAGAAAUUUAAAGAAAAUAUUUUUGUAUUUUUAAACUUCUGGUUUUAAAAGAAAGACUUUCUAAAUAAGUAAGAUAUGGAAAAUAUUUUUGGAUUUUUGAAAAUUGGGGGCCGGAACCGAUGAGAUUUGCUUACGUAUCUCUCAUCCAGUGAGAAUCAAACUGUGUAGUUCGGUCAGUUUUGACGGAACAGGAAAAUAUGACUUAUUUCGAAAUGACUUUUCCUUUUUUUUUUCAAAAUUUCGGCAGAGUUUCAAGAUAAUUCAAAUACUUACCUCUUGCUCUCUUUUCUUUUUUCUUAUUUCUUAUUUUUUUUUUCUUUUCCUAUUCUAGAAGUCAGUCAACAUGCAAGCCGAAAUAGACAGAUACUCAAGUAGCACGUAAGAUGCAUCAGGAUGGUCUUUUAAUUUGGCGACCCAACCCUUGUGUUAAGUCCGCAAAGUCAAAUGCACGUGAUAUAUAAAAGCGUUCCUAUUAGGGAUCCGGCAUGAGGCUAUGUUAUUCUAGGUUUAAAACCUGGAUGUAUUGUUUUAGACCUGGCUUACCCGAGCAGACAACUCGAGCCCGGGGGGGGGGGCAGUGUACCGGUAACCAAAAGAUCAUUCAGCUUUGCAAAUUGUCCGAACCUCGUUCUAAAUUAAGGAUAUGACACUAACAGAAAAGAAGUCACGACAGCGUGCACUUCCCAGAAGAUUUAGAAGAAUUAGAGAGAAGAAGGGCUUCGUAACAGUUUAUAUACAGUUCACAAAAUAGCAAAGCGAUAAAAAGCGGCAAUUAGCACAUUAGGCUCAAACACGUAAAAAUCAGAUAAUAAAUGAAAGCCAAGUAUAACAGUUAUUCUAAGCUCGAAUUCUUGAACCUUGAACCAGAAGUUCUAGGUUUUAUCCCCAGCAGAGUCGCCAGAGCUGUCACACCUCCUUUUUCCCGAGGGAGAUAGGGAGUUUUUCUAAUCAAAGUGACAUUAUUCGAAAUGGGAUUAUUUAUUUUAAUUAGAGUCGCCACUUGGAAUAAUUAUGGUCUCCCAAGUCACCGGCUUAUUUUAAAUCCCAAAUCAAGAAAAUUUACUCUAUUUUUGGUCCGCAAAAAUAGAAGACCGGGUAAGAAAUUCUGUUAAUACGAGAGAAGGUGUUAGGCACUCCCGAGUUUCGUGGUUUUAGCACGGUCGCUCAACAACUAAUAAUUGGCCUAAUUAUCUGAUUUAUUACAUGUUUAGAACCUAUUGUGCAUUUUAUUCCUUUUAUCACUUUUAAUUAAUUAUUUAACUACUUUUAGGAUUUAUAAAAUUUAUUUGAACAAAUCACGAUGGCACACGCUCGUCUAUAUUUGUACACAUUCCGAAUCACAUCACAUGAAAUGCAUCCGUGGUUUACAACAUGUUUAUUUUGUUAUUAUAUGAAGUUAUGGUCGAGUCACGUGAAACGCACAACCGAAUUGGGGAUUAUGUAUCGUGACUAUGCCACGGAAAUCGUAACCAUAGCCACGAUGAUUUAUUUUUCACCAUUCACUUAUCACAAGUUGAUUGCAAAAGUUUCAAACAUUCAAAAAAUUACAAUUUGUUCCUAUAUUUAAGGAUAUAUUAUGUAAUCAGCCUCAAAUUUAGUUCUUUUCCUCUAGCGUCCUACAUUCUGCUGCUCAAAAUUAUUAGCUGAAUCAACAAACUAAACAAUCAUUUUAGUCUAAAUCACACUAAACACCACACCCAACAAUUUUAAUCACAAGUAUGCUAACAAAAAGAAAGAGCCCUAUCUGUAGUUUCUAUAGCGCCAACGGAUGAAGCAGUGAAUGAAACUAUAAUAAUGGAACCACAUGUUCAACCUUAUGCCUCUAUACCAAACAAAAAAAAUCUCAAAUAAUCCAACUUCAGUGAUACUAUGCCGUAUUACUUCAAUAUCAAAUCCCAGAUUAAUUUAGAAGAAAGAAAUUAUUUUCUUGAAUUUGUUUAGACAUUGAAGUACAAUAAUCAAUUUGCUCAAAACACGUAAAUCAACAACAUAAUGGCAACAUUCAUAUAAAAAAAAUAAGAAGUUAGGCAAGGAAUUGAAACAGCAAGGAAAGAAACGGAUUGUACCUGAAGGAUCAAAGUUUUUUAUUAAUUUAAAAGUAAACUCUAGCCACGUACAUGAUAGUUAAGAUGAAUCAACAACUAAACUCAACCAAACGACCACGACCACGACCACACCAGAGAAAACUCGAACAGAACCUCUCGGAAUUGCAAACCGACAGCUCGUCGACUCGACUCGCACCUGCUGUGUAAAUUUUUGAAUGAUUUCGAGGCUGUUUUUGGGUGGUUUUCGAUUCGUUCUUGGGGUCUGUUUCACAGCUAGCUUUGUUGCUGUUUUUUUUUGGUAUUUUGGAGCUGUGUUUCGAUUGGAUUUUCGAGGUGUUUGCGGCACUACUUUGACAGGCUAUUUUGGUGGUUGAAAAUUAUGCUACAUAGAUGAAGACGAAGGGAUGAAAGUGGUGUUCUUUGGGUAGUGAGAGUAGCGGCAAUAGGAGGCUUAGAGGUUCUCCCAAAAUUCAGAGAAAGACCACUUCCCUCUGUCCAUUCUUCCGUCCUUAUAUGUGUGUGCGUUUGAUUUUUGCAAAACAAAAGGGGCCUGGAGGAGUUGCUCUGUGUGGGUAUAUGAUGAUGUGUGGUUUCUUUCUCUUAGAUUUUUCUAUGGGAGGGGAUCUAGAAUUAGGUCUAGGUUUUGGGAAAGUCCCCCUUUAAAGAGAGGGAAUUAGGGUGUAUUUUAGAGAUGGGGGAUAUUGGGUCUUGGGUAGUGGGAUAGGCAAAUUGGG